AUGGUCAAGGAUUUCAAGGUAAUCUUUGGAAAGGGUCAUGGCGGACAACCUGUUCCAAAGGACGCUGACAGACGCGCACCCAUGUGGAAGAAGAAAUCUAUAUUUUGGGACCUGCCCUAUUGGAAAUACCUAGAGGUCCGCUCCGCAAUCAACGUGAUGCACGUGACGAAGAAUCUUUGCGUGACCCUGCUUGGCUUCUUGGGCGUGUAUGGGAAGACAAAAGAUACACCAGAGGCACGGGAGGACCAGCAACGUAUGCAUGGAAAAGACGGCAUACAUCAGGGUCAGGCCAGCUACGCUCUUACCAAAGAAGAGAAGGAAAUCUUCUUUGAAUGCCUGCUCAGCAUGAAGGUACCGUCUGGCUUCUCGUCGAAUAUAAAGGGAAUAAUAAAUAUGGCAGAGAAAAAGUUCCAGAACCUAAAGUCUCAUGACUGCCACGUGAUUAUGACUCAACUUCUUCCGGUUGCAUUGAGGGGGCUUCUACCGGAAAACGUUCAAUUAGCCAUUGUGAAGCUAUGUGCAUUCCUCAAUGCAAUCUCUCAGAAGGUAAUCGAUCCAGAAAUCAUACCAAGGUUACAAAAUGAUUUGGUGCAAUGUCUUGUCAGUUUCGAGUUGGUGUUCCCACCAUCCUUCUUCAACAUCAUGACGCACGUCCUAGUUCAGCUUUGCGAAGAGAUUAACAUUUUGGGUCCUGUAUUUCUACACAAUAUGUUCCCCUUUGAGAGGUUCAUGAGAGUCUUGAAGAAAUAUGUUCAUAACCGUGCUAGGACAGAAGGAAGCAUCUCGAAGGGCCAUGAAAAUGAGGAGGUCAUUGAGUUCUGUGUUGACUUUAUUCCUGACCUUAAGCCGAUUGGUGUUCUUGAAUCGCGGCAUAAAGGCAGACUGGAUGGAAAAGGCGCGCUAGAAGGGGAUCAAAUAAUAUGUAUGGAUGGGCAUUCUCUCACUGAAGCACACUACACUGUUCUACAAAAUUCCACCUUGGUGGCUCCGUAUAUGGAGGAACACAAGAAUUUUCUACACUCCAAACACCCAGAGAAGUCUGACGACUGGAUUACACGUGAACAAACAAGGACUUUCGCCGGUUGGUUGCAGAAACGUGCCAUGCAUGAUGGCGAUAUUGAAUAUGACAUGUACUCGCUGUCCCAGUUACCAUCUUCGAAUAUAAUGACUUUCAAAUGGUACCAGAUAAAUGGCAAUACAUUUUACACGAUCGCCCAAGAUAAGAAGAGCACCAACCAAAACAGUGGUGUCCGCUUUGAUGCAACAACCAACACGGGAAAGGAAACCUAUUAUGGUUACAUAGUGGACAUGUGGGAACUUAACUAUGGAGGUGGUUUGAAGGUCCCUUUGUUUCGGUGCAAAUGGGUCAAUAUGACACGAGGCGGGGUAACGGAAGACCCGCAGUAUGGAAUGACAACAGUGGAUCUCAACAAUCUUGCGUAUGCAGACGAACCAUUCUUCCUAGCCAAUGAUGUGGCACAGGUUUUUUAUGUAAAAGACAUGUCUACCAGGCCGAGAAAAAGAAAAGAUAAGGAAGCGAAUGGAUCAUACGACGAGCCAAAGCACCACAUAGUUCUUUCAGGAAAAAGAAACAUCGUGGGAGUGGAUGACAAGACAGACAUGUCAGGAGAUUAUGAAAAGUUUGAUGAAAUUGCUCCAUUCACAGUGAAUAUUGACCCGAGCAUCCGGUUAAAUGAUGAAGAUUUUCCAUGGCUACGGUGCAAAGGGACACACGCGAAGAAAAAGUUUGACACCCAAAGAUCUGGGAUGUGA
rnacentral:rRNA from 1 species